rnacentral:rRNA from 1 species
GUCCUUUAGAUAUUAAUUUAAGGUCUAACCUGCCCACUGAAUUAUUUUUAAAUGGCCGCAGUAAUUUGACUGUGCAAAGGUAGCAUAAUCAUUAGUUUUUUAAUUAAAAGCUUGUAUGAAAGGUUGGACGAAGUAAAAUCUGUCUCUAAUUAAAUUAAUUUAGAAUUUAACUUUUAAGUUAAAAGGCUUAAAUUUAAAUAAAAGACGAGAAGACCCUAUAGAUCUUUAUAGUUAAAUUAUUAGAUUUAAUUAUGAAUUUUUAAAAUUUUAUUAAUAGAACUAUUUUAUUGGGGUAAUAUAAAGAUUAAAAUAAUUCUUUUUUUUUAUAAACAUUAAUUUAUGAUUUUUAUGAUCCAAUUUUAUUGAUUAAAAGAUUAAGUUACCUUAGGGAUAACAGCGUAAUUUUUUUAGAGAGUUCUUAUCGAUAAAAAAGUUUGCGACCUCGAUGUUGGAUUAAAGAUUAUUUUAGGUGUAGAAGCUUGAAAAUUUUGGUCUGUUCGACCAUUAAAUCUUUACAUGAUCUGAGUUCAGACCGGUGUAAGCCAGGUCGGUUUCUAUCUUUAUUAAAUAAAAAUAUUUUAGUACGAAAGGACCAAUUAUUUAAUAUAUUAAUAUUUAUAAAUUUUGAUUAUUAUUA